rnacentral:rRNA from 1 species
ACCGGCAAACGGGUGCGGAACACGUACACAACCUUCCUUUUAGUGGAGAAUAGCCCAGGGAAACUUGGAUUAAUACUCCGUAACAUAUAGAAGUGGCAUCACUUUUAUAUUAUAGCAGCAAUGCGCUAGAAGAUGGGUGUGCGGCUGAUUAGAUAGUUGGCGGGGUAACGGCCCACCAAGUCGACGAUCAGUAACUGGUGUGAGAGCACGACCAGUCACACGGGCACUGAGACACGGGCCCGACUCCUACGGGAGGCAGCGGUAAGGAAUAUUGGUCAAUGGACGCAAGUCUGAACCAGCCAUGCCGCGUGGAGGAUGAAGGUCCUCUGGAUUGUAAACUUCUUUUAUUUGGGAAGAAACCCAUCUUUUCUAAGAUGGUUGACGGUACCAGAUGAAUAAGCACCGGCUAACUCCGUGCCAGCAGCCGCGGUAAUACGGAGGGUGCAAGCGUUAUCCGGAUUCACUGGGUUUAAAGGGUGCGUAGGUGGGCAAGUAAGUCAGUGGUGAAAUCUCCGGGCUUAACCCGGAAACUGCCAUUGAUACUAUUUGUCUUGAAUACUGUGGAGGUCAGCGGAAUAUGUCAUGUAGCGGUGAAAUGCUUAGAUAUGACAUAGAACACCAAUUGCGAAGGCAGCUGGCUACACAAAUAUUGACACUGAGGCACGAAAGCGUGGGGAUCAAACAGGAUUAGAUACCCUGGUAGUCCACGCCCU